rfam:Triticum aestivum genome assembly, contig: Triticum_aestivum_CS42_TGACv1_scaffold_080398_1DS
GGCAUAUUCCCUCCCUCCGGAAAUACUUGUCCUAGAAAUGGUUGUAUGUAGACUUGUUUCAGUUAUAGAUACAUCCAUUUUUAGGACAAGUAUUUCCGGAUGGAGGGAGUACCUA